rnacentral:misc_RNA from 1 species
AAUCCCCAACCCCUCAGGGGGCUUGGACUUUUGAGCGUGCUGGCGGUGAUCGUCGGCUCCCCUUUAAAUGCAUCAGCGGAACCCUCGUUCCCCGUUUCGGCGUGAUAGAUUUGUGUUGCGCCGCGUAGGGGGGUGGUCAAGUGGUUUUUCCGCUUCCAAUCGUCCUCGGACAAAAGAUCGUUGACAA